rnacentral:rRNA from 1 species
UACGGGGGGGGCAAGCGUUGUUCGGAAUUACUGGGUGUAAAGGGCUCGUAGGCGGCCAACUAAGUCGGACGUGAAAUCCCUCGGCUUAACCGGGGAACUGCGUCCGAUACUGGAUGGCUUGAGUUCGGGAGAGGGAUGCGGAAUUCCAGGUGUAGCGGUGAAAUGCGUAGAUAUCUGGAGGAACACCGGUGGCGAAGGCGGCAUCCUGGACCGACACUGACGCUGAGGAGCGAAAGCCAGGGGAGCAAACGGG